GGCCGACUAGCUCAGUUGGUUAGAGCGUCGUGCUAAUAAUUUGCGGGACUAUGUCGUGAGAUUACGCGAAGGUCUUGGGUUCGAUCCCCACGUUGGCCA